rfam:Ailuropoda melanoleuca scaffold1883_1, whole genome shotgun sequence.
ACCUGGCUGGCUCAGUCAGUAGAGCAUGUGACUCUUGAUCUUGGGGUUGUAAGUUCGAGCCCUACACUGGGUU